rnacentral:rRNA from 1 species
UGGGAACAUACCCUUUGGUUCGGAAUAACUCAGGGAAACUUGAGCUAAUACCGGAUACGCCCGAGAGGGAAAGAUUUAUUGCCGAAGGAUUGGCCCGCGUCUGAUUAGCUAGUUGGUGAGGUAACGGCUCACAAGGCGACGAUCAGUAGCUGGUCUGAGAGGAUGAUCAGCUACACUGGGACUGAGACACGGCCCAGACUCCUACGGGAGGCAGCAGUGGGGAAUAUUGGACAAUGGGCGCAAGCCUGAUCCAGCCAUGCCGCGUGAGUGAUGACGGCCUUAGGGUUGUAAAGCUCUUUACCCGGGAAGAUAAUGACGGUACCGGGAGAAUAAGCCCCGGCUAACUUCGUG